rnacentral:lncRNA from 1 species
CAAUCCCACCGUCUCACUACCCUCGGAUGAAAUCUUCGAACGGCUGAGCAGAAUCCAGGGCUCAGAACGGUGCCAGCCGGAGAAAUCAAUGUGAGGACGGAACUGUUUCCGUGGAGAGGUAUCUAUGUUAUGAGAACGGUGGAGAUAGAGCCGUCUAUACCCUCGCUGAUGGUUGUCUUGACGAGGGUUAGCGAGAGUUUCAGUCGGAUCCAAGGACCGCCGCUCCUGCUUAAUCAUGAUGUGGAGUUUGACGUGGCUACCGGUAGUUUGUAUCGGACACAACUUUGGACAUCAAGAACAUCACUAAGAGAUUACGUAGGCUAUGAUCCUCCAACGCCCAUACGCGAGCUACCUUAUGCGUAUCAAGGUUUCCUUACUGUUAUGGAACGAUUGCCUCAAUCCUCAACGGAUGCUCGUAUCACCUCACCGCCGCCACCGCCUCCAAACCGAAGAGGAUUGUACCGUCCUAUCCCGAUGAUACACCGGCCAAGGAUGACGACAGCGAAGACACAUGCUCUAUAUGCUAUGUAAAUGUGCAGAAUACACGGUACAGACCAUGCAAGCACCAAUUCUGUUUUAGUUGCACAAAGGAGAUUAUAAAAACAAGCCCUUUUAGAUGUCCCACUUGUCGUUGCGUGAUCGAUGACUACGGGAAGCUUCUGUCUGAUUCUGAUUGAUAUUUAAUCGUGUGCACAAUUACACUAAAGUUCCUGAGAUAUUGCUUUAGUCUUACAUCCGUUUUCAAAUGCAUAUAUGUACGAAUUAAUGACAAUUACUUUGACAAAGGGACAUUUAAGUCAAGAGGGCAUGUUUCCAACCUACCAGCAUGAUACAAGGCACAAAUUUCACAGGAAAACCAAUCAUGUAACAAAAAAAGAUAAAUACCUCAUGUAAAGCAGUGCCUUGAACCUUUCUAACGCUCUUCUGGAACCCCUAAGGUUACUCGGGUUACCCCUAAGGUUACUAAAGAAUGAGGGAUCGAAAAAAUUUAGUUCUGCUCUGAAAGAGACAUUACUAUGCUGUUCCGGAUACACAAUGUACUACUAGACGAGGUACGAAUUUAAGCAAUCUGAUGCAUGUUUCUUAACCAGAAUUUCUCGUAGAACACGAUUAACACAAUAAAAAUUACUGAACCAACUCCUAACGAAGAUAUUAACGUUUUUAUUUCACAUUGGUUACGGGAAUUUGAACUACCCGCUCACAAGAGACUCAAAGCUCUACGUUAGUCAAAUCGCGCACUACAACGGUUUCAGCAAGCUUCUCAAUUGAGAAA